rnacentral:rRNA from 1 species
UGGGGAAUCUUGCGCAAUGGACGAAAGUCUGACGCAGCCACGCCGCGUGAGUGAAGAAGGCCUUCGGGUUGUAAAGCUCUGUCGCCCGGGACGAAAAAUCAUUAGGUGAAUAGCCUAGUGAUCUGACGGGACCGGGCGAGGCAGCACCGGCUAACUCCGUGCCAGCAGCCGCGGUAUUACGGAGGGUGCAAGCGGUGCACGGAAUUGUUGGGCGUACAGGGUAGGGAGGUGGGCUCAUUUGUCUGGGGU